UCUUACUUAAGUGGAAAACGAUGUGAAGUUACUUAAACAACCAGGAGGUUGGCUUAGAAGCAGCCAUCCUUUAAAGAAAGCGUAAUAGCUCACUGGUCUAGUGAUUUUGCGCGGAAAAUAUAACGGGGCUAAAGUAAGUACCGAAGCUGUAGACUUGCACACAACUUAGAUUAUUUAAGUUUAGAAUAAGUAGUUUAAGUUGUGUGCAAGUGGUAGGAGAGCGUUCUAUUUGCGUCGAAGGUAUACCGGUAAGGAGUGCUGGAGCGAAUAGAAGUGAGCAUGCAGGCAUGAGUAGCGAUAAUUAAUGUGAGAAUCAUUAACGCCGUAAACCCAAGGUUUCCUACGCGAUGCUCGUCAUCGUAGGGUUAGUCGGGUCCUAAGUCGAGUCCGAAAGGGGUAGACGAUGGCAAAUUGGUUAAUAUUCCAAUACCAACAUUAGUGUGCGAUGGAAGGACGCUUAGGGCUAAGGGGGCUAGCGGAUGGAAGUGCUAGUCUAAGGUCGUAGGAGGUUAUACAGGCAAAUCCGUAUAACAAUACUCCGAGAACUGAAAGGCUUUUUGAAGUCUUCGGAUGGAUAGAAGAACCCCUGAUGCCGUCGAGCCAAGAAAAGUUUCUAAGUUUAGCUAAUGUUGCCCGUACCGUAAACCGACACAGGUGGGUGGGAUGAGUAUUCUAAGGCGCGUGGAAGAACUCUCUUUAAGGAACUCUGCAAAAUAGCACCGUAUCUUCGGUAUAAGGUGUGGUUAGCUUCGUACUAGGAUUUACUCCGAAAGCGA
rnacentral:rRNA from 1 species